CGAUUGAGUUUGAUCAUGGCUCAGGAUGAACGCUGGCGGCGUGCCUAAUACAUGCAAGUCGAGCGCAACUUCUUAUACCGAACCUUCGGGUUCACUUUAAGAGUUGAGCGGCGGACGGGUGAGUAACACGUAGGCAACCUACCCUUAAGACUGGGAUAACUACGGGAAACCGUAGCUAAUACCGGAUAAUACCUUUACUCAAAAGAGUAUAGAUUGAAAGAUGGAUUUUCUAUCACUUAAGGAUGGGCCUGCGGCGCAUUAGCUAGUUGGUGAGGUAGUAGCUCACCAAGGCGACGAUGCGUAGCCGACCUGAGAGGGUGAUCGGCCACACUGGGACUGAGACACGGCCCAGACUCCUACGGGAGGCAGCAGUAGGGAAUCUUCCGCAAUGGACGAAAGUCUGACGGAGCAACGCCGCGUGUGUGAUGAAGGAUUUCGGUUCGUAAAGCACUGUUGUUAAGGAAGAAUAGUAGUAAGAGUAACUGUUUACUAAUUGACGGUACUUAACCAGAAAGCCACGGCUAACUACGUGCCAGCAGCCGCGGUAAUACGUAGGUGGCAAGCGUUAUCCGGAAUUAUUGGGCGUAAAGCGCGCGUAGGCGGCAAGAUUAGUCUGAUGUGAAAGCCCCCGGCUCAACCGGGGAGGGUCAUUGGAAACUGUCUUGCUUGAGUGCAGAAGAGGAGAGUGGAAUUCCAUGUGUAGCGGUGAAAUGCGCAGAGAUAUGGAGGAACACCAGUGGCGAAGGCGGCUCUCUGGUCUGCAACUGACGCUGAUGUGCGAAAGCGUGGGGAUCAAACAGGAUUAGAUACCCUGUAGUCCACGCCGUAAACGAUGAGUGCUAAGUGUUA
rnacentral:rRNA from 1 species